GGCCUCAGCCUUUAAAUGGGCUUGCAAAGACCCAUCAUCCUGCUCUCACUCUUUGCUCCUCUUUUAAACCCUAGCUUAGCUGUCAGUGAGCUCGUUAAGGGGAGCUCGAGAGAAAUUUUCUAUUUUCUGAUUCGGAGUGCGUAUCAGAAUCAGAUAAAGAUGAGACCAAUUUUGAUGAAAGGGCAUGAAAGGCCCUUAACGUUUUUGAAGUAUAACAGAGAAGGUGAUCUCUUGUUCUCCUGCGCCAAAGACCACACUCCCACCGUCUGGUUCGCAGACAACGGCGAGCGUUUGGGUACUUACCGCGGCCACAAUGGCGCCGUUUGGUGCUGCGAUGUUUCAAGAGAUUCGAUGCGCCUUAUUACUGGAAGUGCAGACCAGACAGCAAAGUUGUGGGAUGUUCAAACAGGAACUCAGUUGUAUUCCUUUAACUUUGACUCGCCUGCCAGGGCUGUGGAUUUCUCUGCUGGUGAUAAACUUGCUGUUAUCACUACUGAUCCCUUUAUGGAAUUGCCUUCUGCCAUUCAUGUAAAACGCAUUGCAAGAGAUCCCAGUGACCAGACCGGUGAAUCUGUGCUCAUUCUCAAGGGUCCUCAGGGAAGAAUUAACAGAGCUGUUUGGGGACCCCUGAACAAGACUAUCAUAAGUGCUGGAGAGGAUGCUGUAAUUCGCAUAUGGGAUUCUGAGACAGGGAAGCUUCUGAAAGAGUCAGAUAGAGAAAUUGGGCAUAAGAAGGCAAUAACAUCUCUUACAAAGUCUUCUGAUGGUUCACACUUCAUUACUGGUUCUCUAGAUAAGUCUGCUAAGCUAUGGGACAUCAGAACAUUGACUCUUAUCAAGAGCUAUGUGACAGAACGUCCAGUCAAUGCUGUUACAUUGUCUCCUCUUCUUGAUCAUCCUCCAGCGUUCUUACUGUGGGCAUCCUAUGUUUGCGGACUACUCUUCAUGAUUUUACUAUGCGCAAGGGGGAAAAAAGAAAAGGAAGAAAAAAAUCCUUUUCUUUCAGUGCUUUUCUUGAUCAAGCAUUUAGUCUAGUGGAUGAGGACUAACAUAUAGUGUUAGGGGAAAGGGGCUAAACCUGAUGCCGAUAGGUUGGAGUGCUUUGGCCUAAGGUGUCAAAGGUUGUGCUUGGAGGUGGUCAGCAUGCUUCUGCAGUCACUACCACUGAUCACCGAGCUGGGAAGUUUGAAGCUAAAUUUUAUGACAAGAUUCUUCAAGAAGAAAUUGGAGGUGUAAAAGGUCAUUUUGGACCUAUAAAUGCUUUGGCUUUCAACCCGGAUGGGAAAAGUUUCUCAAGUGGAGGUGAAGAUGGGUACGUGAGGUUGCAUCAUUUUGAUCCAGAUUACUUCAAUGUUAAGAUUUAAAUUGGCAUUUAUGUAUUUGUACCAUAAACGGAAUCAAUUUUGGAGAGAGUGGGAAGGAAUUUUGGUAUAUUUAUCGCAGAGGAGCAUAGUAUAGCAAAAGUACUAGUUUUGAUGCCAAUGAUAACCAUUUUUGUCCUGUUGAAAGAAUUCGAUGCCUUGCAAAUUUUUUUGCAGGCCUUAGUAAAGAACGUAGUUUCCUGUUUCUUUGA